rnacentral:rRNA from 1 species
AGUAACACGUCGGUAACCUACCCUCGGGAGGGGGAUAACCCCGGGAAACUGGGGCUAAUCCCCCAUAGGCCUGAGGUACUGGAAGGUCCUCAGGCCGAAAGGGGCUCUGCCCGCCCGAGGAUGGGCCGGCGGCCGAUUAGGUAGUUGGUGGGGUAACGGCCCACCAAGCCGAAGAUCGGUACGGGCCAUGAGAGUGGGAGCCCGGAGAUGGACACUGAGACACGGGUCCAGGCCCUACGGGGCGCAGCAGGCGCGAAACCUCCGCAAUGCGGGCAACCGCGACGGGGGGACCCCCAGUGCCGUGGCAUCGCCACGGCUUUUCCGGAGUGUAAAGAGCUCCGGGAAUAAGGGCUGGGCAAGGCCGGUGGCAGCCGCCGCGGUAAUACCGGCGGCCCGAGUGGUGGCCGCUAUUAUUGGGCCUAAAGC